rnacentral:rRNA from 1 species
UACGGAGGGGGCGAGCGUUAUUCGGAAUUAUUGGGCGUAAAGGGCGCGUAGGCGGCCCGGUAAGUCAAAGGUGAAAUCCCUCAGCUCAACUGAGGAACUGCCUUUGAAACUGUCGGGCUUGAGGCCGGGAGGGGGUAGCGGAAUUCCCAGUGUAGCGGUGAAAUGCGUAGAUAUUGGGAGGAACACCAGUGGCGAAGGCGGCUACCUGGACCGGUUCUGACGCUGAUGCGCGAAAGCGUGGGUAGCAAACAGG